ensembl:lncRNA
CAGGCUGGAUGGGGCGCUGAGCACCCUGACCCAGCUGCAGGUGUCCCUGUUCAUUGCAGGGGAGUUGGACUAUGUGUCUUUAAAGGGUCCCUUCCAACGCAAGCCAUUCUAUGAUUCUACAAAAUUAUGGCAUAGCAGGAACUCUGUGGAAGCGGUUCUUCACCACACUUCACUACAUGGUGGCGUAAUCUGUUAGGCACUGCACAAACAGGCACUUGUGUUCAUGGUGGGGAGCUGCCGGGGCAGGGGAUGUGAUUUUUUGCAGUGCUUGGCCUGCUGAUACUU